GCCUGAGCGGUGGCGCGUGCUUGUAGUCCUGGCUACUUAGGAGGCUGAGGCAGGAGGAUCGCUUGAGCCCAGGAGUGCUGGGCUGUAGUGCGCUAUGCCGACCGGGUGUCCGCACUAAGUUUGGCAUCAAUAUGAUGACCUCCCGGGAGCAGGGACCACCAGGUUGCCUAAGGAGGGGUGAACCGGCCCAGGUCAGAAAUGUAGCAGGUCAAAACUCCCGUGCUGAUCAAAGACCCCAAUUGCCAACAGAAGCUCCCUAGCAAAUAUUUAAGAGGUGGGGUGAUGUUCAGCAG
rnacentral:SRP_RNA from 1 species